rnacentral:rRNA from 1 species
GCCGCAGUAUUUUAACUGUGCAAAGGUAGCAUAAUCAUUUGUUAUUUAAUUGAUAGCUUGUAUGAAUGGUUUGAUAAAGUAUAUUCUUUUUUAAUUCCUUAUUUAAAAUUUUAUUUUAAAGUUAAAAAGCUUUAAUUUAUUUAUUAGACGAUAAGACCCUUUAGAACUUUAAUUAAUUAUUUGUUUAUAUAAUUUGUUAGUAUAUAUAUAAAUUAUUGAUUUAUUUUAGUUGGGGUGACAGAUAAUUUGUAAAAACUUUAUUUUUAUUAUUUUCAUUUAUUUAUGAUUUCUUGAUCCAUUAUUUUUGAUUAUAAGUUUAAGUUACCUAAGGGAUAACAGCGUAAUUAUAUUGGAGAGUUCUUAUUAAUAAUAUAGUUUGCGACCUCGAUGUUGGAUUAAA